AUGAACGCUGGCGGCGUGCCUAAUACAUGCAAGUCGAGCGAACGGACGAGAAGCUUGCUUCUCUGAUGUUAGCGGCGGACGGGUGAGUAACACGUGGAUAACCUACCUAUAAGACUGGGAUAACUUCGGGAAACCGGAGCUAAUACCGGAUGAUAUUUUGAACCGCAUGGUUCAAAAGUGAAAGACGGUCUUGCUGUCACUUAUAGAUGGAUCCGCGCUGCAUUAGCUAGUUGGUAAGGUAACGGCUUACCAAGGCAACGAUGCAUAGCCGACCUGAGAGGGUGAUCGGCCACACUGGAACUGAGACACGGUCCAGACUCCUACGGGAGGCAGCAGUAGGGAAUCUUCCGCAAUGGGCGAAAGCCUGACGGAGCAACGCCGCGUGAGUGAUGAAGGUCUUCGGAUCGUAAAACUCUGUUAUUAGGGAAGAACAUAUGUGUAAGUAACUGUGCGCAUCUUGACGGUACCUAAUCAGAAAGCCACGGCUAACUACGUG
rnacentral:rRNA from 1 species